rnacentral:rRNA from 1 species
AAAAAAGGUAAGCUACUAAGAGCGAAUGGUGGAUGCCUUGACUGGUAAAGGCGAUGAAGGACGUACUAGACUGCGAUAAGCUACGGGGAGCUGUCAAGAAGCUUUGAUCCGUAGAUUUCCGAAUGGGGCAACCCAAUGUAUAGAGAUAUACAUUACCUAUAUAGGAGCGAACGAGGGGAAUUGAAACAUCUUAGUACCCUCAGGAAAAGAAAUCAAUAGAGAUUGCGUCAGUAGCGGCGAGCGAAAGCGCAAAAGGGCAAACCCAGUGCUUGCACUGGGGGUUGUAGGACUGCAAUGUGCAAGAGGUAAGUUUAGCAGAACAUUCUGGAAAGUAUAACCAUAGAGGGUGAUAGUCCCGUAUGCGAAAAACAAACCUUAGCUAGCAGUAUCCUGAGUAGGGCGGGACACGAGGAAUCCUGUCUGAAUCCGGGUCGACCACGAUCCAACCCUAAAUACUAAUACCAGAUCGAUAGUGCACAAGUACCGUGAGGGAAAGGUGAAAAGAACUGAGGUGAUCAGAGUGAAAUAGAACCUGAAACCAUUUGCUUACAAUCAUUCAGAGCCCUAUGUAGCAAUACAGGGUGAUGGACUGCCUUUUGCAUAAUGAGCCUGCGAGUUGUGGUGUCUGGCAAGGUUAAGCAAACGCGAAGCCGUAGCGAAAGCGAGUCUGAAUAGGGCGCUUAGUCAGAUGCUGCAGACCCGAAACGAAGUGAUCUAUCCAUGAGCAAGUUGAAGCUAGUGUAAGAACUAGUGGAGGACUGAACCCAUAGGCGUUGAAAAGCCCCGGGAUGACUUGUGGAUAGGGGUGAAAGGCCAAUCAAACUUCGUGAUAGCUGGUUCUCUCCGAAAUAUAUUUAGGUAUAGCGUUGUGUCGUAAUAUAAGGGGGUAGAGCACUGAAUGGGCUAGGGCAUACACCAAUGUACCAAACCCUAUCAAACUCCGAAUACCUUAUAUGUAAUCACAGCAGUCAGGCGGCGAGUGAUAAAAUCCGUCGUCAAGAGGGAAACAACCCAGACUACCAGCUAAGGUCCCUAAAUCUUACUUAAGUGGAAAACGAUGUGAAGUUACUUAAACAACCAGGAGGUUGGCUUAGAAGCAGCCAUCCUUUAAAGAAAGCGUAAUAGCUCACUGGUCUAGUGAUUUUGCGCGGAAAAUAUAACGGGGCUAAAGUAAGUACCGAAGCUGUAGACUUGCACACAACUUAGAUUAUUUAAGUUUAGAAUAUGAGAAACUAAGUUAUAUGUUUAGUUAUAUUUUUACUGAUUUUUAUAGAGUAAAGAUAGAAAUAAAACUUAGUAAAAUCAGUAAAAAUAUUCUUAGACUAAAGUUAAGUAGUUUAAGUUGUGUGCAAGUGGUAGGAGAGCGUUCUAUUUGCGUCGAAGGUAUACCGGUAAGGAGUGCUGGAGCGAAUAGAAGUGAGCAUGCAGGCAUGAGUAGCGAUAAUUAAUGUGAGAAUCAUUAACGCCGUAAACCCAAGGUUUCCUACGCGAUGCUCGUCAUCGUAGGGUUAGUCGGGUCCUAAGUCGAGUCCGAAAGGGGUAGACGAUGGCAAAUUGGUUAAUAUUCCAAUACCAACAUUAGUGUGCGAUGGAAGGACGCUUAGGGCUAAGGGGGCUAGCGGAUGGAAGUGCUAGUCUAAGGUCGUAGGAGGUUAUACAGGCAAAUCCGUAUAACAAUACUCCGAGAACUGAAAGGCUUUUUGAAGUCUUCGGAUGGAUAGAAGAACCCCUGAUGCCGUCGAGCCAAGAAAAGUUUCUAAGUUUAGCUAAUGUUGCCCGUACCGUAAACCGACACAGGUGGGUGGGAUGAGUAU